rnacentral:rRNA from 1 species
AUGCUGCGCUGUUGCUUCGGCGGGCAGCCAACAAGAGCAGCUCGUACUGCGUCAGGAAACUGCAAUCUUUCUGGUGGUGCUAUCGUAAUUGACGACGAGGAUUGGUCAUACUCAUACACACUCAAGAUAGCCGGAUACUCAAGAACCAAGGAGCUGCUCGAGACCGGCAAGUACGCAAGAUCUACGCCUUUCACUGUUGGAGGCCAUGUUUGGGCCGUACGUUAUUACCCAAACGGUUACAAGGAUGCUGCUGAUUUCGCAUCUAUUUUCCUAGUUCUUGUUGAUUCUACGGGCGCCAAGGAUGUGAAGGCGAAAUGCACGUUCAGUGUGCUCGACGAGGCCGGGUUGCCAGUGCCUUCUUUCACCCGUACCUACACCUCCGCACGUACCUUCACAGGAAAAGAUUCCAGCUGGGGCUACCCCGAAUUUAUCAACAAGGCGGAUCUGGAGGGAUCGCCGCACCUCAUAGACGAUUGUUUCGCCAUCAGAUGCGAUGUCACCGUCUUGAAGGAGAACCGUAGCGAGGAAAUUAAAAAGUGUAGUAAACAGUUUGUGGUGGUUCCUCCGAGCAACCUGCGCCGGCAACUUAGCGGCCUCCUAAACAGCAUGGAUGGUGCGGACGUCACCUUCCACGUCGGCGGGGACAAGUUCCCGGCCCAUAGGUCCGUGCUCGCUGCUCGCUCCUCCGUCUUCAAGGCCGAGCUCUUGGGCUCCAUGAAGGAGAAUGCCGGCGAUCCGCUUGUAGAGAUCAAGGAUAUGGAGAGCGACGUGUUCAAGUCAUUGCUGCAUUUCAUAUACACGGACGACUCGCCGUCUGAGAUGGCCUGUGAAGACGCGGUGAUGGCUGGCCAUUUACUCGUUGCGGCUGACAGGUACGAUGUCGAGAGGUUGAAACUGAUAUGCGAGGACAAGUUGUGCAAACACAUUGACUCCAACACCGUGGCGACUAGCUUAGCUUUAGCUGAACAACAUAGUUGCCCUGGACUAAAGGAAGCUUGCUUUGGGUUCCUUGCCUCUCCUUCCAAUUUUGAGGCUAUGGUGGCAAGUGAUGGUUAUGAGCAUCUGAAGAGCAGUUGCCCGUCCGUUCUCAAGGAGCUGAUUGCUAGAUUCCUGCCCGCUGAGCUAAAAGCGGCCAAGGAUAUCAUCAUGAAAUUUUAA